CGACCCCGCCCCGGCGCCCGGCGGCCCCGCCCCGGCGCCCGGCCUCCCCGGAGGACCGCCCCGCCCCGCCACGCCCCGCCCCGGCCGCGCAGCCUCGCAGGGGAAAUCCGCCCCCGGGACAGAGUCAGGUGGUUGGUCGGAGGGUGGGGGGCUACCCGAGGGCGGCCGUGGAGGGCGAGGGUGAGGGGCGUCCCCUGGGGAGCGCGCCGCUGUGGUGACCCGCUCACCUCGUGGUCACCGCCCUGCCCUGGGGUGGAGUGUGGGGCAAAGGGGCGUGGCUUGAGAUGCACUUGCCUCUUGCUUAGCUGUGCACCUCUGGCAAGCCUGUUGACCUCUCUGAAUCACAGUAUCCUCGUCCCUCGUAAAAAUAGGCAUAAAAAUACGGGAUAUAUAAUGAUAACCCUACCUAUAGACUUGUGAGGAGUGAAAGAGUUCCUAUUCACGUUAGUUAUUAGUGUUAGUUGGCAGUUACAAGAACUUUCUGGGACUGGGGCAGAGUAAGAAGUGCCCCAAUGAUACUUUUGUUUGUUUGUUUUGUUUUUAAUUUCUCAAGAGUUUAGGACGAUGUCUGGAAUCUAUUUGGUAAUCAAUACAUAUUGUGAGUGAGUGAAGGAAAGGAGACCUUAUUGCAACGAUAAUUGGAGGGAUAAUGGGAAUGGUCUGCCCUACUUUUACCGCGCACAGGCUCCGGACGCGCAGGCGCAGCGGCCAUGGCUCACGGCCCCAGCCGCUCCACGGCACGUGGGAUCCUCCCCGUCCGGGGCACGAACCCGUUUGCCCUGCAUUGGCAGGUGGACUCUCAACCACUGCGCCACCAGGGAAGCCCUAUCUCUGAUUUUAAGAGUAUGACCAAGGUGGACAGUUGCUGUUGGGAUCCUGGCUGGUUACAGUACGGCUGGCAUUUCCUCAUUUUGGUAAACUUUCAGGUUGACAAAUGUAAUUAAAGAAAACAGCCUAGAUGCCCUAUGAAAUAAACCACUGUAAGAACAAAGACCAGGGAUGUGGAAGCGAUGUGAUCAAAGCCUAAUGCGCUCCCAAGAGAACUGAAGUGUCAGCAAGGUUUGUGCUGGUUGUUCAUAAAAUAAGCAGUUAUGUGUUUAAGGGGAAAAUCUGCCUGGGACAUCAAAGUCUUCACAGACCGCAAGUUGUAACAGAGUAUCUUUUGAAUGUAGCGGAAAUUGUGUGUCCUGAAAAGACGGAAGCCCGGGCAAAUGUAAGCAUAACUGGAAAUGCUGUUGUUCAAUGUCCUGGAAAUAUGGCUAGGAAACGAAAAGAUAAAUUGUGUGAAAAGUUUUAAACAUUGUGACGUUUGCUAUUACAGCUGAUGAGGUUACAUAUUUAGUAGUAUUUAGAUGUAAUAAUUAGCUCUAUUUAUUCACUCUGGGUUUGAGGGUUUUUUUUUUAAUUAAUUAAUUAAAAAAUUUUUAUUUUUGGCUGCGUUGGGUCUUUGUUGCUGCGCGUGGACUUUCUCUAGUUGCGGUGUCCCCUGCAUUGGCAGGCGGAUUCUUAACCACUGCACCACCAGGGAAGCCCCAAGGGUUUGAGAAUUUUUUUUUUUUUUUUUGCAGUACGCGGGCCUCUCACUGUUGUGGCCUCUCCCAUUGCGGAGCACAGGCUCCGGACGCGCAGGCUCAGCGGCCAUGGCUCACGGGCCCAGCCGCUCCACAGCAUGUGGGAUCUUCCCGGACCGGGGCACGAACCCAUGUCCCCUGCAUCGGCAGGCGGACUCUCAACCACUGCGCCACCAGGGAAGCCCUGAGAAUUUUUAUGAUUGAAAAUAUUUUGGACAGCAUGCCCAUGACAGGCACAAUACAAGGAAGUGAGUAAGAAAUUCAUUUUUGUAACAGAGGAAACUUUCGAACAAUUUUAUGUAGAUGAUGUUCCUGGGAUAGAUGAUGCUCAUAUUGGACUUGCCAUUAAAUGUAAGUUUCAUGUCGUAAGUUACAUGAGGACACAGCUUUUACAUCUACUCAUUUGCAUCAUUCAGCAGAAAUUGCUUUCUGCUGGAAGUUAAAAAUGGAAUACAUCACAGACACAGAGCUCACCACCUGUAAGCUGGAUCUCCUCCUAGGGUUUGGACCACAGAGUGUUCCAGGUGCUGUUUGAUGAAUUGGACACGUAACACAGCAGUCUCCUCACGGCAGGUAGGUUGAGAGGCUUAGUCAUGGCUGAAGCUAAGGAGUAUCAUUGAACUGUUGAAACAAACUCAUUCACAUCAUCUGAGGAAAAAGGAAAAUCUUUGCUUAUGUUAAGCAGCAAAGAUUGUUGUCACAUACUUGGCCCUUUGGGUUGACAGACACUUUGAAUAUUUCCUACAAAGCCAUCCACAGUAGUUAUACAGCAUGAUGGAGACAGUUAUCUGGCACAGUGUUACCUGGUCCUCUUUUCUGUGCUAGAAUUAGUUUCUCGAACUGUAACUGAUGGCCUGAAUUCCGUGAUGGAUACACUGACAACUGACUUUCCAAAGUGGUUUAUUGAUCUCAAACUCUGGAACUAACCUCCCACUGCUCUGUGCUCCUUUAUCAAUUCUUACCUAUAAUGUGGAAGAUGGUCCAUGGUGUCAUACAGGAUGGAAAAUUUAGUACAGUGACACUAGAAAGUCAGACUCCUGCAAAUACCUUAGCAAUUGUGCAGAGACUUUUGGAAAAUCUUUGAAAAUGCCUACGUUUUUCAACAGCUCUUUUCCAAUGUCAAACAUCACUUCUAGUCAAGACUACCUGUCAAGGCUGAAUUCUGAGUUCAUAUCAAACUUAAAACAAGAUUUAGCAAUGAAAUAUUGCUGCCAAAGAAAAAGUUGCAGAUUUCUGGUUCCAAAAUAAAAGUCAACAAAUUGUGAAAGAAAAUAUUAGAAGUAAAAGAUUCCAAUUUUUAUCUUGGUUUUUAUUUAUUUAUUUAUGGCUGUGUUGGGUCUUCGUUGCUGUGUGCGGGCUUUCUCUAGUUGCGGCGAGCAGGGGCUACCCUUUGUUGAGGUGCGCAGCCUUCUUCAUUGUGGUGGCUUCUCUUGUUGCGGAGCACGGGCUCUAAGCGCAUGGGCUUCAGUAGUUGUGGCACGUCGGAUCAGUAGUUGUGGCUCACGGGCUCAGUAGUUGUGGUGCACGGGCUUAGUUGCUCCGCGGCAUGUGGGAUCUUCCCCAGCCAGGGCUCGAACCGGUGCCCCCUGCCUUGGCAGGCAGAUUCUUCACCACUGUGCCACCAGGGAAACCCUUUUAUCUUGAUUUUUUUUUCAAUUUUGAAUUUGAGAUACAAUUGUCAGUAUCACACAUGCACAUAUUAUGUUGUUUGGUUGCAGUCAUAGUUCAGAAAAAUACAGUUUGAUUAUUUUCCUGGCACUUGGUUUGUUUUUCUUACCCGGAAAAUAGACCUUUAUGUUCCUGGCUUCUGUAGUCCCUGGAGUUUUCAAUGAUCUCUUCAAUUCACCUCUCGUGCAGGCAAUGAAUUAUGUGGCUCUAAAGCUUAGCUAACAGUUUUCACCAUAAGAUGAAGUCAAUGAAUCCUUCUUGGAAAAUCAAGCAAUUACUUAAUUCUUCCACUAGUGGGCGGGCACGCUCUUUCUUUCUAAAUAGGAGCCUCAGGGAAGUAUUUUUUUAACAUCUUUAUUGGAGUAUAAUUGCUUUACAAUGGUGUGUUAGUUUCUGCUUUAUAACAAAGUGAAUCAGUUAUACAUAUACAUAUGUUCCCAUAUCUCUUCCCUCUCGCGUCUCCCUCCCUCCCACCCUCCCUAUCCCACCCCUCCAGGCGGUCACAAAGCACUGAGCUGAUCUCCCUGUGCUAUGCGGCUGCUUCCCACUAGCUAUCUAUUUGACGUUUGGUAGUGUAUAUAUGUCCAUGACACUCUCUCACUUCAUCCCAGCUUACCCUUCCCCCUCCCCAUAUCCUCAAGUCCAUUCUCUAGUAGGUCUGUGUCUUUAUUCCUGUCUUGCCCCUAGGUUCUUCAUGACCUUUUUUUUUUUUUCCUUAGAUUCCAUAUUUUAGCAUAUGGUAUUUGUUUUUCUCUUUCUGACUUACUUCACUCUGUAUGACUCUAUAGAUGGAGAGAUAUACCAUGUUCUUGGAUUGGAAGAAUCAACAUUGUGAAAAUGACUCUACUACCCAAAGCAAUCUACAGAUUCAAUGCAAACUACCACUGGCAUUUUUCACAGAACUAGAACAAAAAAAUUUCACAAUUUGUGUGGAAACACAAAAGACCCCGAAUAGCCAAAGCAAUCUUGAGAACGAAAAACGGAGCUGGAGGAAUCAGGCUCCUGUACUUCAGACUAUACUACAAAGCUACAGUAAUCAAGACAGUAUGGUACUGGCACAAAAACAGAAAUAUAGAUCAAUGGAACAGGAUAGAAAGCCCAGAGAUAAACCCACGCACAUAUGGUCACCUUAUCUUUGAUAAAGGAGGCAAGAAUAUACAGUGGAGAAAAGACAGCCUUUUCAAUAAGUGGUGCUGGGAAAACUGGACAGCUACAUGUAAAAGUAUGAAACUAGAACACUCCCUAACACCAUACACAAAAAUAAACUCAAAAUGGAUUAAAGACCUAAAUGUAAGGCCAGACACUAUAAAACUCUUAGAGGAAAACAUAGGCAGAACACUCUAUGACAUAAAUCACAGCAAGAUCCUUUUUGACCCACCUCCUAGAGAAAUGGAAAUAAAAAUAAACAAAGGGGACCUAAUGAAACUUAAAAGCUUUUGCACAGCAAAGGAAACCAUAAACAAGACCAAAAGACAACCCUCAGAAUGGGAGAAAAUAUUUCCAAAUGAAACAACUGACAAAGGAUUAAUCUCCAAAAUUUACAAGCAGUUCAUGCAGCUCAAUAUCAAAAAAACAAACAACCCAAUCCAAAAAUGGGCAGAAGACCUAAAUAGACAUUUCUCCAAAGAAGAUAUUCAGGAAAGUCUUUGAGAACCUUUUCUAUUUUAGGCGGUUGGCCAAGAGUUUUAUCUACUCACUUUUACGGAGAGCUCUGAAUCUUUAUACUCAUGGUCAGAAAUACCUCAGAAAGCUUUUAUAGGAAAAUUCAUAUUGUCUCUCCUUUUUUUUUUUAAAUAUGAGAUUUUGUUGUUGUUGUGUUUUUUGUUUUGUUUUGUUUUGGCUACAUCGUGCAGCAUGUGGGAUCUUAGUUCCCAGACCAGGGAUCAAACCUGUGCCACCUGCAAUGGAAGCAUGGAGUCUUAACCACUGGACCAUCAGAAAAGUCCCUAUAUUGUCUCUUAAUAGUGUAUCUUUUAAUUAUCAUGUUGGUUAAUAUUUAUUUUUGAAAGACAUAUUGCAAAUAAAAACUAUAUUCCUUAAAUAGACUAACUUUAGGUGACUACAGAGGCUGUUUCCAAAGAAUUCAAAACAUCAGAAUACUAGAAUACCAGUAAACAC